ACGUAUGUAACUCAGUGGUAGAGUGCCGGGACUUUCUAACCCGGUCGUCGCUGGCUCGAUUCCACUCAUACGUC
rnacentral:tRNA from 1 species